AAGAGAGGUCUGGGACAUAAAGAACUGCUAAUUCUUCAAUCAUGGUUCAAAUCCAUGGCUCACUUG
rnacentral:tRNA from 1 species